GCCCCCGUUGUCUAAUGGUUAUGACGUCAGACUUCUACUUUCGAGCAAUCUGGACGUUGCGGGUUCGAGUCCCGCCGGGGGUU